UACGGAAGGCAGCAGUGGGGAAUAUUGCACAAUGGGCGCAAGCCUGAUGCAGCCAUGCCGCGUGUAUGAAGAAGGCCUUAGGGUUGUAAAGUACUUUCAUCGGGGAGGAAAAAACAAAAACUAAUAAUUUUAUUUCUUGACGUUACCCGAAAAAGAAGCACCGGCUAACUCCGUGCCAGCAGCCGCGGUAAUACGGAGGGUGCUAGCGUUAAUCAGAAUUACUGGGCGUAAAGAGCACGUAGGUGGUUUUUUUAAGUUCAGAUGUGAAAUCCCUGGGCUUAACCUAGGAACUGCAUUUUGAAACUGAAAUACUAGAGUAUCGUAGAGGGAGGUAGAAUUCUAGGUGUAGCGGUGAAAUGCGUAGAUAUCUGGAGGAAUACCUGUGGCGAAAGCGGCCUCCUAAACGAAUACUGACACUGAGGUGCGAAAGCGUGGGGAGCAAACAGGGAUUAGAUA
rnacentral:rRNA from 1 species